GUGAUGUCCGUCCCACCCUGACGGUGCUGCCCCCUCCAGUGAGGAGCUGCAGCAGGGGAAGGCCACGCUCAUGUGCCUGGCCAACAAGGGCUUCCCCUCAGACUGGAGUCUGUCCUGGAAGGUGGACGGCAGCAGCAGCAGCAGCAGCAGCUGGGAGCAGAGCAGGAGCCCCGGGGUGCUGAAGGACGGCCACUACAGCUGGAGCAGCACCCUGAGGCUCUCUGCAGACCAGUGGAGGAAGGUGGGCUCUGUGACCUGUGAGGCCACCCAGGGCUCCCAGACUCCGCUCUCAGAGACACUGAGGAGAGACCAGUGUUCCCAGUCCUGACCUGACUCACUGGGACUCUGCUACUGGUUUUACUCUGCUACUGCUCUCACUGUGCACUCUGUAACUAUCUCUCUCUUUCAUUUGACAUGUUUCAGUCAGAAUAUUUACUAGCUUGUUGCAGUGUUUCAAUAUUAUUUCACUGUUUCCAGAUAAUAAAGACGUGUUCAUCAAA